rnacentral:rRNA from 1 species
UACGUAGGUGGCAAGCGAUACUCGGAAUCACUAGGCGUAAAGCGCAGGUAGGAGGUUUGGUAAGUCUAUUGUGAAAGCUCCCGGCUUAACUGGGAGAGGUCAAUGGAAACUACCAGGCUAGAGUGCGGUAGAGGUAGCUGGAAUUCCCGGUGUAGCGGUGAAAUGCGUAGAUAUCGGGGAGGAAUACCGGUGGCGAAGGCGGCAUCCUGGACCAUUACUGACGCUGAGGCGCGAAAGCUAGGGGAGCAAACGGG